AGGAUGAACAUAGGUAUAAAAGUAAAUACAAAUAUUUUUCAAGGACAAUUUUGUAUUUAUAUCUUUCAUUCCUUUAUUACACUCAGAUGCUUCCACUUUCUUCCACUGAACGCUUCCUGAAGUGCUAAAAAAUCUCGUUCUUCAUAUCAUAAUGUAGCUCUAAUAUAGUCCUAAACCAAAAAUAUAAUACUACUUAAUUCCCAAAAUGCAGGAAACUCCAUUGAAAAUCUUCCUCACGUGUUCAAGAUACUCCUCUGUUUUCCCGAAAUUCCGUCUCAUUCUAUAAGUGGUUUUCCGGGAAUGAUACUAGGGAUCAUCUUUUCUUUGAAUGCUUGUUUUGAUCAAUUGUUGUGGAAGAGAUUGAUGAAAUGGAUGCAAUUUCAAUGGCCAGGAGUUCACAACUGGAUGCUGCACUACCAGACUAUUCUGCAGCUUAGCAAAGGUAGAUCCAAACAAGCUCAAUUGAUUAAAAUGGUCUAUGCAGAAUAUAUUCAUGCCAUUUGGAUAGAAAGGAACACUAGAGUCUUUGAAGGAGGGAAGACACAAGGGGAACAAAAUGCUAAAGCAUUUGCAUGUAUCUGCACCGUUCGAGCUAGUCCGACAAUGAAAGCUAGGUUGAUGAUGUGCAAAUUCUGAUGUGAAGGCUAAUAGAGUAUUUUGUGUUCUAGACUAGCUGCUACUGGUUGGAUAUGUAAGGAUGCUACUGUUGGUAAUUAGCAGGCAGCCUUUUAGUUUUUUGUAGUUCUAAGGGGUGCUCCCACUGGAUUUAGCAAGCUGUGUUGUAGCUUGGUUGCUUUGUAAAUAUUCACUUGGUUUUAUUAAUACAAGUUAUUAGUUACCCAAAAAAAUAAAAUUGGCUGGGUUUACUCA